GUAAGCCCCCACCCCACCCCACCCCACACACACUGCUAACGCCUCAGGGGAGCCAGACUUUUAAUCUGGACUGGCCUCCAGCUUCGCGGGUCUACCGUGGGGUUUUGUGCUCCCCGAAACCUUAGGAUUCCCAGCAGCGUGACCCGGUUUCAGUCGCAGUCCUCUGGGGACUGAAGCGGCAGUGACACUGGCGGCCGAGCAGCUGCAGAGCCAAGGACCUCAGGAGCAGAGGAGUGGUCUUUCGAAGGUUUUAUUCAGCUCCCAGCUUCCCAGCUCUGGGCUUUCGGGGAAGAGCUUUGGCUGUGUUUAUUAUUAGUCAGUAUUCGAUAUGCCCCUCUAAUACUCCACCAGUUAUGGUUAUUAUUCUUGAUUCAUGUGCGUGGAUGGGUUGUUUUGUUUUUCAAAUCAAGGAUUAUGAGAUAAGAAAUGGAACUGUUUCUCUAGACAACCAGCUGUUAGGAGAGUCGCUCUCUCAAAGACGCAAGAAGGUAACAGUGGAGCUUGCUGGCAAAGGAGCUGCCAUUCAAGUCCCCUCUAAUUUGGGUGGUCACCAGUUCCUAAAGGUGAGGGGUUUCAGCUGAGAUUACCUGGAGACUCUGCAGGCUGCACUGAGCCCAGGGAAUUCAAAUCCUAUCUGCACCCCAGAAGUCGAUGAAAGUCCUGCGGGUGUAGACGCUGCAUCUACGCCAUCAGCAGCUCCAAAAAGUGUGUGUGUGUGUGUGUGUGUGUGUGUGUGUGUGUGUGUGUGUGUGGUGACCUUGUUGCCAGAGACUUAGGCUAUUAACUCUAGGUCUGGGGUCCCCCAUCAGGAGAAAGGAACCUGUCUGGACCCACAGACACACCCCGACUGAAGGGUGCCAUGGAAACUUGGGAGUGCACUGUUCUCUGGGGCUCUGGAAAAGACAAAUUUUCUUUGGCAGAAGGAAUGGUGUCGCGCUGUCGACACGAAAGACUAUUUUUCUUGUUCCCUUUGGAGGGAGGGGGUAGAAAGAAAGCAAGAAAGAAAGGAAAAUUAAAUCCACACGUGUUGUUAAGCUUGCUCGAAGGGCCAGAUUGAAAAUCAGAGAUGAAGCUACACCUCCGAAGCCGGCGGCCUCCAGGGGCCCUUUCCAGCCAGCCUACUCAAGGAAGCAAGCCAGAGAGAGUCCAACCGUUUCAUAAAGGGCUGUGCUUAAUGGGGAGGGGAGGCGAUGCCUCACCCUGGGCCAGGGAAACAAAGGAGAAAUUGGGAAUGGAUACUUCUGUAUACCAGCUCAAUGCGAUGCCUCCAAACUCAGUUCACAUUCAUGCAGAGGCCAAAGCGGGCCAGGCCUGUGGUUUGGGGAAUCUGUCUUCUUCCUUACUCGCCGCCGUGGCCAUAGCAGAUUUUGAACUACAUAGUCUAGAGGACCUAAACAAGAAAUCAUUUUACCCACACUGAUGCAGCCUCCUCAGUCUUCCAGGAUAAUUCUCAAUUGCUUAUCCACCCCCUCCCCAUCUCCUGAGAGAAAUUUGCAAGACCCCAGCCUGGGAGUAGGCCGCCCUCAGCUGGGGCCCACUGAGGAGGGAGAAGGUGAAGAGAGUUGACACUCCUGCCUGGAGCUGCGAGUGAAAACUCUGGUAAUGACGUUAGAGAGGUGAAAGGGAGGUGGGGUGUGGGUGAGGGUUAGGAGGGCAGCCAAACCCCAAAGUAGAAGGAUCCGUCACCAAGAUGAUUGCUUGGUCGAGACCUCUAAUUUUUCUUUAUCAGCCUGGGUUCCCACCCCACCCCCAAGUCAGUCC
rnacentral:lncRNA from 1 species